rnacentral:lncRNA from 1 species
UUUUGCGAGAUUCUCUCUCUCACCAAAAAUCAAUCUUUUUUCUUUCACUAUAAAACAAAACCCUAACAUUGUUUUCUCUUCACCAUUUUCAAAUUGAGUGUGUGUGUGUGUUUCAUUGCAAUCAUCAAUGGAGAUUCUUAGAGUUCAGCUUUUCUUCAUGUCUCUUCUCUCUAUUGCUUUGGCUUUUGUUGUUCCUUCCAUCAAUGGUCAGAUCCCUGCACCUGCUCCUGCUCCAACAAGUGAUGGUAUCAAUUCAUUUUUUCACUUUUUUUUCUUUAACUUUGAUUAUGAUUAAUAAAUGGGUCUGGUUAAAUUUCAAUUGGGUUAUUUUGGAACUAGUAAAUUUUCAAUUUUUUUCAUGCUUUCAUGAUGAUUAAGUCAUCUGGAUUUGUUGUGAACAAGUUAAUUUUCAAUUUUUUAUGAUAAUUAAUUAAUGAGUGUGCCUAAAUUUUAAUUGGGUUUGUUAGGAACUAGUAAAUUUUCAAUUUUUUUAUGCUUUGGUGAUGAUUAAAUCAUUGAUGGGUUUUUAGGGAACGAGUAAAUUUUCAAUUUUUUCUUGAUUUGGUGAUGAUUAAAUCAUGGGUGUGUUUAGAUUUCAAUUGGGUUUGCUGGAAACAAGUUAAUUCUCAAUUUUUUAUGAUNNNNNNNNNNNNNNNCAAUUGAGUUUGUUGGGGAGAAGUUAAUUUUCUAUUUUUUAUGAUGAUUAAACUAUUGGGUUUGUUUUGAUUUUGAACAAGUAAAAUUUCAAUUUUUCCCAAAAAAAAAAAAAAUCAAUUUUUCCUGCUUUGGUGAUGAUUAAAUCAUGGUUGUGUUUAGAUUUCAAUUGGGUUUGUUUGGUACUAGUUUUCAUUUUUUUAUGAUAAUAAGUACAAUUGGUUUGUUGGGGACAAGUUAAUUUUCAAAUUUUUGAUGAUAAUUAGUUAAUGGUUUUGUUAAAAGUAAAGUUGAGUUUGUUGGAAAAACAAGUUACUAGUAAUUUUGUAGGUGAUGAUGAUUUAUGAUGUUGUUAUUUGGUUUGCAGGGACAGCAUUGG